UGUGGGCUGCAGGGUCCCCCAGCAGAGCAGAGUCCCAGGGUCUCGCUGUCUCAGCUCGAGCUCGGGUCGCCGCCCGGACAGUGUCCGGAAUGGGGCCUGGGGGGCAGGAGUUUCCUCCCUCAUUCCUUGUUCCGCACUCCUGCUCUUUUUCUUUCGUUCCCGAUUCAUUUAUUCAGCGUGCACCUCGGGAUGCGUCCUUGCUGCCAAGUGGACCUCACGUUCUAGAGGGGCCGUUCUUAAAGUGUGGCCCCAGGUCCGGCAGCUUCACCAUGCUGGGCACUCCUUAAAGAGAACAGGAGAACCCCUCCAGCCCUCACCACGGUCACCACAUCGUCCCACGCAUCUGGGGAAUUUGCAGAUUGAUCAAGACUGCUUGGAGCUGGGGCGCGGCCGGGGCUCUGCGCCUCUCGCAGUAUUCCGUGCUGAGCGCCGCUGAGAGUCCCGGCUGCUCCUGGCUCUGCCCCACGCAGCCCAAGCAAAGACAAGAACAUACACAUUGACCAGAGAAUGCGUCAAAUGCUUUAGUCGCCGCCUGUCUGUGUAGCAGCAGAAUAAAGAGCUGUGCGUUGGAGUCAGGUGUCAGCAGGACAGCAGACAGUCUCAGAAUGGGUAUUUUUGUGUCCCUGGUGCCGUUCUCUGUCCCGUUUGGCACAGGCCGCCUGUGAAGCAGGUCCUGUAUUACCUCCACUGUCGGUGAGGAGGCAGAAUCACCAUGAGAUUAAGAAACAUGCCCAGCAAAGCCAGGGCGUGCCAGAGGCAGGAUUUACAGGCUGUGGAGUUUCACCUUUGCACGUAGCCAGAUGUAUCUGGACCCUGACCUGGAAUUGUUUUAUGAUUUUAUGCAAUUAUCCAAAGCAGCGAGGCAUACACUUUGAAAAAACUCAAGAAGUCCAAAGGCAAACUUCAUAAUAAAGACGCAUUCUCUGGUCAA